GGUCUCACCAGUGUUCUAUACAAUAUUUUACGUCCAAGAUGCAUUAUCUUGCACUUAUCCACAUUAAAUGUCAGUUGCCACAGCUCUGACCAUUUUUCUAGUUUACCUAAAUCAUUUGCCAUUUGGCUUAUCCCUCCUGGAACAUGAACCCUGUUACAUAUCUUAGUAUCAUCAGCAAAAAGACAUACCUUACCAUCAAGACCUUCUGCAAUAUCACU